rnacentral:rRNA from 1 species
UGGGGAAUAUUGCACAAUGGGCGCAAGCCUGAUGCAGCCAUGCCGCGUGUGUGAAGAAGGCCUUCGGGUUGUAAAGCACUUUCAGCGAGGAGGAAGGUGGUGAACUUAAUGCGUUCAUCAAUUGACGUUACUCGCAGAAGAAGCACCGGCUAACUCCGUGCCAGCAGCCGCGGUAAUACGGAGGGUGCAAGCGUUAAUCGGAAUUACUGGGCGUAAAGCGCACGCAGGCGGUUUGUUAAGUCAGAUGUGAAAUCCCCGGGCUCAACCUGGGAACUGCAUUUGAAACUGGCAAGCUAGAGUCUCGUAGAGGGGGGUAGAAUUCCAGGUGUAGCGGUGAAAUGCGUAGAGAUCUGGAGGAAUACCGGUGGCGAAGGCGGCCCCCCUGGACGAAGACUGACGCUCAGGUGCGAAAGCGUGGGGCAGCAAACAGGAUUAGAUACCCUGGUAGUCCACGCUGUAAACGAUGUCGAUUUGGAGGUUGUGCCCUUGAGGCGUGGCUUCCGGAGCUAACGCGUUAAAUCGACCGCCUGGGGAGUACGGCCGCAAGGUUAAAACUUAAAUG